rnacentral:rRNA from 1 species
GACGAACGCUGGCGGCGUGCCUAAUACAUGCAAGUCGAGCGAAGUUUUUCUGGUGCUUGCACCGGAAAAACUUAGCGGCGAACGGGUGAGUAACACGUAAAGAACCUGCCUCAUAGACUGGGACAACUAUUGGAAACGAUAGCUAAUACCGGAUAAUAGCAUUAACUGCAUGGUUGAUGUUUAAAAGUUGGUUUUGCUAACACUAUGAGAUGGCUUUGCGGUGCAUUAGCUAGUUGGUGGGGUAAAGGCCUACCAAGGCGACGAUGCAUAGCCGACCUGAGAGGGUGAUCGGCUACACUGGGACUGAGACACGGCCCAGACUCCUACGGGAGGCAGCAGUAGGGAAUCUUCCGCAAUGGGCGAAAGCCUGACGGAGCAACGCCGCGUGAGUGAAGAAGGAUUUCGGUUCGUAAAGCUCUGUUGUUAGGGAAGAAUGAUUGUGUAGUAACUAUACACAGUAGAGACGGUACCUAACCAGAAAGCCACGGCUAACUACGUG